rnacentral:tRNA from 1 species
GCCGGUGUAGCUCAGUGGGUAGAGCAUCGGCCUGCAGGCGGAAGGGUCCAGGGUUCGAUUCCGGUCAAGGGCA